rnacentral:rRNA from 1 species
ACUCAAAUGAAUUGACGGGGGCCCGCACAAGCAGUGGAGCAUGUGGUUCAAUUGGAUGCUACGCCAAAAACCUUACCAAGACUUGACUUCCCAGUGUAACCUUUAGGAAACUAGAGGCCCCUUCGGGCACUGGAGACAGGUGGUGCAUGGUUGUCGUCAGCUCGUGCCGUGAGGUGUUGGAUUAAGUUCCGCAACGAGCGCAACCCUCGUCGUUAGUUGCCAUCAUUCAGUUGGGCACUCUAGCGAGACCGCCGGCGUCAAGCCGGAGGAAGGUGGGGAUGACGUCAAAUCAUCAUGCCCCUUACGUCUUGGGCUACACACGUGCUACAAUGGGCGGUACAACGGGUUGCCACGGCGCGAGCCGGAGCGAAUCCCUUAAAGCCGUCCUCAGUUCGGAUUGCAGGCUGCAACUCGCCUGCAUGAAGCUGGAAUUGCUAGUAACCGUGGAUCAGCAUGCCGCGGUGAAUACGUACCCGGGCCUUGUACACACCGCCCGU